CGCCUGGCGGAGGCAGAGGCAAAGGCGAGGUCACGGGUUCGACGAUGCGUGGGUCUUCUUCUCCUCAGCACACGACGGAGGCGAGAUCUGGCUACACUUUCCUAAUUGCAAAUGCUGCAAGGGUGAGAGCCUUCUUUGGAUGCCCAGUUGAUGAACGCAAGGACUUUCUGCUGCAGAUGAUGUAUAGUCCUCAGGACUGUUGAGGUACUUUGUAAAAUUGCAGAUAAGUGAGUCUAGGCUUCAAAAGUGAUGUUAAUUUAACAUACCAUAGUUGCAGCAAGAAUAAAAAAUAAUAAUAAUUCAGUGUAACAAACAUUUAUAGUUUUUUCAGAUGACUGUGUUCGGUUGUUUUGAUUAUCAAGUUAAUAGAUAGAAUCAUUUUCUA